AUAAUGCAUCAUGUGCAAUCUCAAAAUGCUCUUCAGCUGCAUCCCAUAUUGUGACCUAAGCUACUAGGCAGUAUCCCUCCCGAAAGUUACUUCUGUUGACUCAUUUUGAUGGGUUUCACACCUGGACACUGGAGCUGACACUCUUCUGGGACAGCCCUGGGAGAUGUCUGCUCACCUGAGUCUGUAACUUGGAUUUCUCAUCUUACCAUCAAAUCUCUGUGUUUGUGUACAUGGGCCUUUGAUGGACUGAGCUCUCCUGAGAUGGGCUUACAAGUGGCCAGGGGUGGGUAUGCUUUGAGUUCCCCUGCAUGCCGUUCUUCCUCUGCACUUCUUGGUGUCUGUAGAGAACAGCAUUUUAUCAUGUAGCCUAAAGCUUUGUCUCUUUUUGUAUGUCACUGGGUAGAACUGUUAGUGGAGAAGUACAAAGGAGUUCAACUAUCUUUGCUGUUCAUUGACCUAUAGUGGUUUUGUAAAGAACAGAUAGUGAAAACUGUAUUUUCCUAUCUCAAAUGCAGGGUAUUAGGAAAGUAGAUUGUUGGACAUGACUGAAAAAAGUAACUUGGUUGUGCAUACUAGACAAAUCCUUGCCAAUACAUAUAAGAAACUGAGGACAAAAUGCUGAAAGGCAUGGAACUUCAACAGUAUUGAGUGUCAAGCUGUGAGAGAAGGCUGUCUAGAGAGUGGAUACUCCCAUUACUGAGACCCCAGAAGAUGCAAUACUUUUAAGGAGAGGAUUCAUGGCUUUCUUAGUGCUUCAAAAAGAGAGGUUGCACAAGAUAUCAUUUCGAGAGGAUGGAAAAAGGGGUUUGGAAAUUACAUCCCACAAAGACAAGAGGCUGGAAAGGAGUCUCUAUCUAUUGAGAAUCAUAGAAUAGUUAGGUUUGAAAGGAGCUUAAGAUUACCUAGUUCAAAUCCCCCUGCCAUGGACA
rnacentral:lncRNA from 14 species